rnacentral:rRNA from 1 species
ACCUACGGGAGGCAGCAGUAGGGAAUUUUCGUCAAUGGGCGCAAGCCUGAACGAGCAAUGCCGCGUGAACGAGGAAGGUCUUCGGAUCGUAAAGUUCUGUUGAAGGGGAAAAAGAGCGGAGAGAGGAAAUGGUCUCCGACUGAUAUUACCCUUCGAGGAAGUCACGGCUAACUACGUGCCAGCAGCCGCGGUAAUACGUAGGUGGCGAGCGUUAUCCGGAAUGAUUGGGCGUAAAGGGUGCGUAGGCGGCCUGCUAAGUCUGGAGUGAAAGGUACCGGCCCAACCGGUACAUGCUCUGGAAACUG